AUGAUGCUCCUAUGCAUCCCACUACUUCACUUCUGCAAGCAUAGGAGAGCCAGGCAGUCACCAAGCAAAAGACAGAAGGACACAGCAGAGUUCAUAGUGACGGAUGAGACCCUCUUUCAGGAGGAGGACAAUGUCUAUGCCAAUAAAGCCAUGCUGGAUGAGGCCCUCGGGCCCAACAGGACAGUGGACAGGGAAAUCGACGACACAGACCUCCUCCACUACGCCAACUUGAACUUCUCCAAACUCCAGGCCAAGGUGGCCGAGCGGGGGGUGGGGGAGGGAGAGAUCAGGGGAGUCGCCUCCAAAACGACAGAGUACGCAGUGAUCCGCCUGCACUCCACAGGCAGUAUCGAGGGAGGGGCUGAGAAGAAGGAGGCCAUUCCUGCUCUGGAGCAGGGGGAGCACGCUGAGGACCAUGGAGCUAAAGUCUUGGAAGAAUCCCAGGCAGGGCACGAGAGUGAUGAGGAAGAAGAAGUUGCAAAGGAUUCUGCGCUGCCAGAGCUACAGGGUGUGACUAAUUAUGCCCUCAGUGUCCAGGAGUAUACAGAGGCCCCACUGGGACAGUCUGAGCAGCACAACCCAGCAGAAACUGCAGUGGACGAGGUGACACUGCUUUCUGAGCCGAAAGAUUCCUCUAAUGGUGAAGAGGAGGAAACAUAUGGGAACAUAUGUCGUGGUCAGGUCAUAUCUGAAGCAAAUUGUGGACAACCUGAGUUAGAUAGGAGGAAGAGUAGGAGAGUGUAA
ensembl:lncRNA